rnacentral:rRNA from 1 species
AACGAACGCUGGCGGCGUGGAUAAGACAUGCAAGUCGAACGGGAGAAUUGCUGGCUUGCUGAUAAUUCGUCGUAGUGGCGCACGGGUGAGUAACACGUGAGUAACCUGCCUCUUAGUGGGGGAUAGCCCUGGGAAACCGGGAUUAAUACCGCAUACGAUUGAAAGAUCAAAGCAGCAAUGCGCUAGGAGAUGGGCUCGCGGCCUAUUAGUUAGUUGGUGAGGUAACGGCUCACCAAGGCGAUGACGGGUAGCCGGUCUGAGAGGAUGUCCGGCCACACUGGAACUGAGACACGGUCCAGACACCUACGGGUGGCAGCAGUCGAGAAUCAUUCACAAUGGGGGCAACCCUGAUGGUGCGACGCCGCGUGGGGGAAUGAAGGUCUUCGGAUUGUAAACCCCUGUCAUGUGGGAGCAAAUUAAAAAGAUAGUACCACAAGAGGAAGAGACGGCUAACUCUGUGCCAGCAGCCGCGGUAAUACAGAGGUCUCAAGCGUUGUUCGGAAUCACUGGGCGUAAAGCGUGCGUAGGCUGUUUCGUAAGUCGUGUGUGAAAGGCAGGGGCUCAACCCCUGGAUUGCACAUGAUACUGCGAGACUAGAGUAAUGGAGGGGGAACCGGAAUUCUCGGUGUAGCAGUGAAAUGCGUAGAUAUCGAGAGGAACACUCGUGGCGAAGGCGGGUUCCUGGACAUUAACUGACGCUGAGGCACGAAGGCCAGGGGAGCGAAAGGGAUUAGAUACCCCUGUAGUCCUGGCAGUAAACGGUGCACGCUUGGUGUGCGGGGAAUCGACCCCCUGCGUGCCGGAGCUAACGCGUUAAGCGUGCCGCCUGGGGAGUACGGUCGCAAGAUUAAAACUCAAAGAAAUUGACGGGGACCGCACAAGCGGUGGAGUAUGUGGCUUAAUUCGAUGCAACGCGAAGAACCUUACCUGGGCUUGACAUGUAAUGAACAACAUGUGAAAGCAUGCGACUCUUCGGAGGCGUUACACAGGUGCUGCAUGGCCGUCGUCAGCUCGUGUCGUGAGAUGUUUGGUUAAGUCCAGCAACGAGCGCAACCCCUGUUGCCAGUUACCAUCGAGUAAUGUCGGGGACUCUGGCGAGACUGCCCAGAUCAACUGGGAGGAAGGUGGGGACGACGUCAGGUCAGUAUGGCCCUUAUGCCCAGGGCUGCACACGUACUACAAUGCCCAGUACAGAGGGGGCCGAAGCCGCGAGGCGGAGGAAAUCCUGAAAACUGGGCCCAGUUCGGACUGUAGGCUGCAACCCGCCUACACGAAGCCGGAAUCGCUAGUAAUGGCGCAUCAGCUACGGCGCCGUGAAUACGUUCCCGGGUCU